GGAUCCCAUCAGAACUCCGAAGUUAAGCAUGCUUGGGCGAGAGUAGUACUAGGAUGGGUGACCUCCUGGGAAGUCCUCGUGUUGCAUUCUC
rnacentral:rRNA from 3 species